CGCUCGGCCCCUGCGAGGGAGGGAGGGGGCGGGGAGAGCGCAGGGGGCGGGCACUGCGCCGCCAGCGUAAGGCCUCCUGCGCCAACUGCGUGAGCGCGGCCCGCCGGGCGCCCGGCCUGGACCCACCGACGGCCGGGCGCGCUGAGUCCGGCCUGCAGCGGAGGCGUGGGCGGAGGGCGGCCAGGGGGCCGCAGGUGGGAGAAGGUGGGCUGUCCUAACGGCCUGGAGAGGUGGACUGGGAGGCGGCGGGCGCGGGGGCGCUCUAGACUCAGCGCACUGCACGCGCCGCGCCGCCAGGUAGUCCCGGCCGCACCGGCGAAAGGAGGAGCCUCGGCGGCAGCGCUGCGCCGCUUCCUCUCCGCAAUCUCGUCCCGGCUCCGCGGGAGCUCGCCGGAGGGGAGUUGCCGCUUCUGAAAGAAAGAAUUAGUUCCAACUUGGGUUUCUGGUGCCUGAAGGGGACGCAGGCGAGAGGGUUUACUGUCUGUCAUUCGCACUGCCCUUUGCAGCGAGCGUCGGGGGACCCGGGCGCGGACCAGCCUCCCACCGACGCGCAGGUGGCGCCCGGGACCGUCUUGCUUGCAGCAAACCGAAAGCAAGUAAACGUUCAACAGACAGGCUGCUGUGGAGCAGGAAAAUAAAGUUUUGUUUUUGUUUUCUUUUGAAAAGAAAACAUUCCUUCUCUGUUGUCCCACCCGUAUCCCUGUGCUACGAAUAACAAAACUUCAAAGUUUUCUGUAAUAUCUUACAUCCUGAAGCUGUUGAUUAGGGAUAGCUACCCCCUGCCGGCACCAAGUCCCCACAGCCUCAGAAACCGUGGGGGCGAGGAAAGGAGGCGAGUGUCCCCUUCGAGCUGGAGUUUUUCUUUGGCUGACUUUGGGAAACACAGUCCUGUGCAGGAUUUCAUGGAGCGCGAUUGGGGAGGGAACCAGCGCUGUGUCUGGAAGUCACCCUCGGCCAGCUCCUGGCCCUCCCCGAAUCCGAUGCUUCACGCCGCACGUCCUUCUUCCCCGCAGGGUCGGGCCACCAGCCGGGUUCCCUCUGUCCCCACCCCUGCAGGGCCCGGCUGCCCCUCGCGGCGUUCUGAGUCCACCUACUCCCUGUGCUCCUACGUGAGAAGGUGCUUUGGGAUGGAAAAAGCAACAUUUACAGAUCACUGCCUCCACAUAGUGCUUCUGGGAACUGCCUACGUCACACUUCAGCUCCUACACCAUAUUGACGUUGAGGAUCUGCUUUGACACUGGGCAUUUCCUCGCUGUGCAUAUAUCACAAAUAUUAGAAUGAGCAGACAUAAUAUACAUUAGGAGAAAUAUUUCAGCCUGUACAUCAUUCAUCAUAACUUUAUUAAGCACCUACUGUGCACAUGCAGGAAUUUUUCUCCUCUGAGGAUAUUGUUUGUUGUUUUCCAUUUCUACAAAAAUGAAUAAAUAAAAUAUUCCAAUCUACA
rnacentral:lncRNA from 13 species